AGGUACGUGUGCUGUAGGUGCACUGGGAUGAGAUGCUUGUUCCUGCUCUAACCGGAAAAGCUUUAUUCAUACGUUCAUUCAUCUAUUGUAUGGAAAACUAGUCUGUCCUAGUAAGAACCUCACUAGCUGUGAGAUGGACUUGAAGUGCUUGCUCUGCAGCAGGUGAGAGUACAAAAGGAGUGAGGAGAACGUCCUUCUGUGAAGCUUUUCGACACCUCUUUGGAUGAGAAGGAGCAAAGUGGUGGUGCUGCUGCAUCUGGAGCAAUUGGUUUGCUAAAGCUUGUUUUCUGGAGAACGUUCACUUCACCGUCCUGAGCAUGAGUGGCUUCUACUGGCAGUGCUGCUGAAGAGCUGCGCAUCAGUAAUUCUUUGACAUGCAGAAUUACAGCUUUCCAGCGCCAGCUCAAACACCGAGGAAUCCCUGCCACCAUAAAGCUAUAAUUGCUGAAUUAAUAACAGCGGGUUCUGGAGAGUGACUGCACAGACUCUCUGACCCAGGCACCACAAUAUGCAGCAGUGGAGGCUUCAGCUGCCUUCAGUGAAGCUCCUGAGUUUUCACCUCCCGGCUUGUCGGUGCUGGCUCAGUGCUUGCAGUGAAUCCUUUCCUCCUAUCUGUCAGCGAUGCACACUAGUAAUGGGCCCUUCCAUUUUGUGCACGCUGACUGAGUGAAGGCUGGGCCGUUGCCCCUUUGCUUUGAAGUCCACUGCAUUUGUGAUUUUUCUUUGAUCAUCGCUGUGGAAAAGCCUGAUAUGUUUUUCUCAGCAGUUCGUAUGCACACAAGCAUGAGAGCUGAGAACCUCAGUCAAGGUUUGUCUGAUGUCCCGAGCGCUGCCCGGGUGUUCCAGCGGCACCAACAGAGGCUGACUGAUGGGCUCCAGUUCAGACAUACGAAGGGUGGCAAGCAGAGGCAGCGUUCUGAGGUCCAUUUAAUUAAUCUGACCGCAAGUCCCUCAGAACUGGAUGUCCUCAUCCCCAGGGCUGUCAGCCACACCGUGUCCUGUCCCUGCCGGCUGCACAGCAACAGUGGCGACACGGCUGCAUUGCUGGGGAGAUGGAAGCCCAACGUGUGUCAUCUCUGAGGCUGCUCGAGUUCCUCUUCAGCGCUUUGCAGGGGAAGACCAGAGAAAUAAUAAGGCUUUGUAUGAGUGAUAAGACUGUAUCGUGAUGGCUGUUCGCUUCCUAACAGAUGGGACAGAGAUGCAGGUAGGGUGGAGGGGCCACAAAGGCAACUGAUGGAGAAGUUUCUUUGGAGUCUGCUGUUCUUUUUUGCUUCAUUUAUAUUUCAUUAGGCAUGAAAUUACGUUUAUAAUUGUAUUAGACAACUGUGUGAGAUAUUAGAUCAUAAGCCUAGACUGAAUUAAAGCCAUUUUUAAUUAG
rnacentral:lncRNA from 7 species